CCGACUGCUAUUUGGGUGAGAAUAAGCCAUGCGAGUUGAAUGGGAUACCUAAAGUUCCCAUAGCAAACUGCUCAGUAACACAUGAUCAACUUACCCUAUAGAGAAAAAUAACCUCGGGAAACUGAGGAUAAUGUUUCAUAAUUGAAUUGGCUUGGAAAAGUUUUUCAAUGAAAAGGAUAAAAAAAAUGGUUUUUAUCCGCUAUAGGAUAGGAUCGUGUUCGAUUAUGGUUGUUGGUGAGAUAAUGGCUCACCAAGCCGAUAAUCGAUAGGGGCCGUGAGAGCAAGAGCCCGGAGAUGGAUUCUGAGACACGAAUCCAGGCCCUACGGGGUGCAGCAGGCGCGAAACCUUUACAAUGUGCGAAAGCAUGAUAAGGGAACUCCGAGUGCCAGCAUUAAAUGUUGGCUGUCCUUGCGCCUAAAACGCACAAGAUAGCAAGGGCCGGGUAAGACCGGUGCCAGCCGCCGCGGUAACACCGGCGGCCCGAGUGGUAGCCGCUAUUAUUGGGUCUAAAGGGUCCGUAGCCGGUUUGAUAAGUCCUCUGGAAAUCUGAUUGCUCAACAAUCAGGCUGCCAAGGGAUACUGUCAAACUUGAGACCGGGAGAGGUAAGAGGUACUUCAGGGGUAGGAGUGAAAUCUUAUAAUCCUUGGGGGACCGUCUGUGGCGAAGGCGUCUUACCAGAACGGGUCUGACGGUGAGGGACGAAAGCUGGGGGCGCGAACCGGAUUAGAUACCCGGGUAGUCCCAGCCGUAAACGAUGCUCGCUAUGUGUCAGAUACGGUGCGACCGUAUCUGGUGCCGUAGGGAAGCCGUGAAGCGAGCCACCUGGGAAGUACGGCCGCAAGGCUGAAACUUAAAGGAAUUGGCGGGGGAGCACUACAACGGGUGGAGCCUGCGGUUU
rnacentral:rRNA from 1 species